rnacentral:lncRNA from 1 species
UGGCGAGGUCUCAGAUCUACUGAAAUCCAACUUUACUCAUAAUAUUGCGAGGUCUCUGUCAAUGUUUUUAAAUUUGGAAAGGAGAUGUGAAUGAAAAAAGUGUGAACAAAGGAUGAGUGACAGCCAAAUUUUGAAGUGUAAAAGAGUAGCUCAAAAAACUUUGAAAAUCAACUUUAAAGUAAGUUUAUAUAGUAGAAAUUAGAGUUCUUGAAUCGUUGAGCAGGAAUUUUAAUUUCCUAUUUUGAAAUUAAUCAAUGAUAACCAUUAAAGAACAAACGUUGGGAUUUUUUUAUGUACUUGGCAUUCUUCACGUGAUUGACAUAGCCAUAGAACUAAUAUAGAGUGAAAAUAUCUAUCCAUAUCUAAUGAACAAUGGAGUUUUUUUUAUAAUGG